UAUCAACCAAGUGGGCCGUAAACGAGAGGGCCAAUUAAAUCCAAGUUUAUUCUGACUUGUCAGUUCUCCCUCAUCGCCUGGGGAAAGAAGCUUCGUUGUGUUUAUAUGGCGGAACCCUUACAUGUAUGUUUGUCCCUUCGGGGACAUCCGAUAAAAUUGGAACGAUACAGAGAAGAUUAGCAUGGCCCCUGCGCAAGGAUGACACGCACAAAUCGAGAAAUGGUCCAAAUUUUUUUGCCUCCUUUUUUUCUUCUUCUUCGAUAAACCCUACAAUCCUGAUUUUUACCAUCUUUUUCUCUUUGUUUCGUUUAUGUAGAAAGCUACUUGCUUUUGAAAUUAAUCUGUGUAUUAUGUAGUUUGCUAAGUCUCCUGUGAAUAUUGUAUUAGAGCAAUUACUUUAGAUUUGCGAAUUUACUUUAGAUUAGUUUAUAAUUGCAAAGUUUUUGUCUUUCCUAAAUGUGAAAUAUUUUUCUGUAAAUCGGGUAAAUGAGUGGUGAAAUAUUGUUUAAUUUUUUUAAACAAAAGGAAGAUUUGUGUUAUUUGGUGUUGGAGAUUAAACUAAUUAACGAUGGCUUCCAUUUAUAAUUGUUCUUGCUGACCUUGAUUUUAGGCAAAUUACUUAAAAUGAACUUGAGGAAGAGAAUCUUAGACUUGCUUGGACUCUUAAAAAAUGUUGUCGGGUGCGUGUCGGAUGCUUCAAAAGUAGGGCAUUGUUGGAGGACCCGACACGGGUGUGAUAACAUUUUUGGUUAUUGGUUUUGUUGUGGGUACAGCUAGCCAUUCAGCAGAUGCAAUUUCUAGAGCAAUUGUUCUUCUGCCCGUCUCGAAGAAAUCAAUUCAAGCUUGAGGACAGGAGCCAGAACCUGCUAGGAGAAUUAUGAUUUUGAUGUGAACUAUAACUUGCUGAGUUUUGAAGUUCUUUCGUUCGAUGAGCUUCAUGUGAUCAGUCUAAACCAAAGCUGGAGCCUGGAGUGUCUCAGGUUGUAUCUCAGUUUUGCUAGCCCUUAUGUUGGUUUAACAUGUGCAGUGGCCAACAACAUUUUCUGCUAUUUGUAACUUGUAAGCCUCUGAUCUUUGUUUGUAAGUCUCAUCAUUAUGACUUGUAAAACUGUGCUUUUAUAUCAGCUUUGUAGAGGGAUUUGCUCAUUGUGUAAAUUCUUGUUUUUCGACAACGAAUAAUUUUGUAUA